GAUGAACGCUAGCGGGAGGCUUAAUACAUGCAAGUCGAGCGAGAAGGUCAGUGCUUGCACUGACUGGACAGCGGCGCACGGGUGAGUAACGCGUACGCAAUCUACCUUUCACAGAGGGAUAGCCCCGGGAAACUGGGAUUAAUACCUCAUGGUCCGUAAAGAUGGCAUCAUCUUAACGGUAAAGUUCCGACGGUGAGAGAUGAGCGUGCGUACUAUUAGCUAGUUGGUGAGGUAACGGCUCACCAAGGCGAUGAUAGUUAGGGGGCGUGAGAGCGUGAUCCCCCACACGGGUACUGAGACACGGACCCGACUCCUACGGGAGGCAGCAGUAAGGAAUAUUGGACAAUGGAGGCAACUCUGAUCCAGCCAUCCCGCGUGCAGGAUGACGGCGCUACGCGUUGUAAACUGCUUUUGUGUAAGAUGAAACACCGACAUUUAUGUUGGCUUGACGUUAUUACAAGAAUAAGCACCGGCUAACUCCG
rnacentral:rRNA from 1 species